ensembl:lncRNA
CGCGGUUUAAUUAAAAACAAACAAACAAACGAACAGUGAACCGUUUGAGCAGAUGAAUGGAAAACAGGAGACCGCGCUCUCCGCACAGAACGGCGCCGGGCCGGGAGCUGCAGCGGGCGGCGGACGCGGCCCAUCGGCUGCGCUCUGAGGAUUCCGCUUCUCCAGAUGGAGCAGAGAAGGCACAACGACCCCAGAUUCAGAAGAUCUGCUGAAGCCCCGACCUACUGAAGCUUCCUACAGCUCCACUUCUCCUCCCCCAUCUUAAAAUGAGGGGAAUAACCAGCGCCUACCUUGCAGGUAAUUGCAAGGAUAGAUACCUCGAGGCUGAGAGUUAGUUGAUACAACAGAAAAAUGCCCAGUACUGCCAACGCUACGUACGCCCCGUCUAGCCUCCAGUUUUGGUACACUGUGCUGAAGAUAACCACACCUAAUCAAUUAGUAUUGAGAAUGGAAUAGGAAAGGAGAUCAAAAGGCAAUGGGUUGAUUUCAACAGAUAGAGCACACAAAGAUCCCAGCUUUAUAAAGCUGAUGGUUUAGAACAAGUAGUACCGAUGGGGAGAGAAAGCUUAAGAAGGGUUACACGAGGCAGAGCAGAGAUCCACAUCUAACUUAUAUUAAAAAUAAACAACAGUUUGAAAUUCAGUGUUCAUAUCUGAUAUCCCUGCGAGGAGCUGAGAUGGGUAUUCUGGACAGGUGCAAUGGACAAAGGUUACACAGAGCACCAGCAGUACCCCUGCUGAAAGUCCCUCUGAAAGACAGCAGUCUGAAAACUAAACACCCUGGACAGGCAAGGUAGCUGAGCUGCACUUCUUUUGUCCUUUUCAGGUUGCUUUCUUCUGUCAGUGACACAACACUAUUUCCUUGGUUAGCGUUGUUCCAAACAGCCAGUAAAAUACCCUUCCCAACACAGGCUUCCCCAAUACACUACGGUUCCAGAAUGAGUGACAGAGUUAAACAGCUUGCAGUCUAGAAAACCACUCAUGACAAGAGAUUCAGAACAUAAACUGCACCCCUGUAUUUCUCAGAUGAAAUAAAAAUCAGCUUGCAAUUAAAACUAAAAUGGGACAAGAGGUGUGAUACAAACCAGAGUGUUUUGGUGCUACCUGUCUUGGAUCCCUCUCGGUCACUGCAUUCAGCGACAUUCGUGGACAGCGUUUCAAGGAGCUAACGUUAAAAAACAAACAUACCCCACUACUCUACAGGCUGAGGAACAUACCACAGCAAUAAGAGCAUCUGUACAAGACGUAGGGAAAAG